AUAUCAAUAAGCGGAGGAAAAGAAACCAACAGGGAUUGCCCUAGUAACGGCGAGUGAAGCGGCAUCAGCUCAAAUUUGAAAUCUGGCCUUGGCCCGAGUUGUAAUUUGUAGAGGAUAGUUCGGUGAUGCCUCGACCCAAGUCUCCUGGAACGGAGUGCCUUGGAGGGUGAGAGCCCCGUAUACGGUCGGUCGGCAGAGCCAUGUGAACUUCCUUCGAAGAGUCGAGUUGUUUGGGAAUGCAGCUCAAAAUUGGUGGUAAAUUCCAUCUAAAGCUAAAUAUUGGCCAGAGACCGAUAGCGCACAAGUAGAGUGAUCGAAAGAUGAAAAGCACUUUGGAAAGAGAGUGAAACAGUAC
rnacentral:rRNA from 1 species